AUAGAACUGAGGUGUUACAGGUGCGUGAUAGAACUGAGGUGUUACAGGUGCGUGAUAGAACUGAGGUGUUACAGGUGCGUGAUAGAACUGAGGUGUUACAGGUGCGUGAUAGAACUGAGGUGUUACAGGUGCGUGAUAGAACUGAGGUGUUACAGGUGCGUGAUAGAACUGAGGUGUUACAGGUGCGUGAUAGAACUGAGGUGUUACAGGUGCGUGAUAGAACUGAGGUGUUACAGGUGCGUGAUAGAACUGAGGUGUUACAGGUGCGUGAUAGAACUGAGGUGUUACAGGUGCGUGAUAGAACUGAGGUGUUACAGGUGCGUGAUAGAACUGAGGUGUUACAGGUGCGUGAUAGAACUGAGGUGUUACAGGUGCGUGAUAGAACUGAGGUGUUACAGGUGCGUGAUAGAACUGAGGUGUUACAGGUGCGUGAUAGAACUGAGGUGUUACAGGUGCGUGAUAGAACUGAGGUGUUACAGGUGCGUGAUAGAACUGAGGUGUUACAGGUGCGUGAUAGAACUGAGGUGUUACAGGUGCGUGAUAGAACUGAGGUGUUACAGGUGCGUGAUAGAACUGAGGUGUUACAGGUGCGUGAUAGAACUGAGGUGUUACAGGUGCGUGAUAGAACUGAGGUGUUACAGGUGCGUGAUAGAACUGAGGUGUUACAGGUGCGUGACGAUAUAAGAAAGGCUAAUAGGUCUUCUUGAUAUACAGUCUACCUUCAACGUGUCUCUCUCUUCUGUUCCCUCCG